rnacentral:rRNA from 1 species
CGGCGAACGGGUGAGGUAACACGUGAGGCAACCUGUCCCGAAGACCGGGAUAACACCGGGAAACCGGUGCUAAUACCGGAUGUCCCCACCAGGCCACAUGGUCCGGUGAGGAAAUGGAUUCCGCUUCGGGAGGGGCUCGCGGGCUAUCAGCUUGUUGGUGGGGUAACGGCCCACCAAGGCUACGACGGCUAGCUGGUCUGAGAGGAUGGCCAGCCACAUUGGGACUGAGAGACGGCCCAG